rnacentral:rRNA from 1 species
CUACGGGGUGCAGCAGUGGGGAAUAUUGCACAAUGGAGGAAACUCUGAUGCAGCAACGCCGCGUGGAGGAUGACACUUUUCGGAGCGUAAACUCCUUUUAUAUAGGAAGAAGAUGACGGUACUAUAUGAAUAAGCGCCGGCUAACUCCGUGCCAGCAGCCGCGGUAAUAAGGAGGGCGCAAGCGUUACUCGGAAUCACUGGGCGUAAAGAGCGUGUAGGCGGAUUAAAAAGUCAGAAGUGAAAUCCUAUAGCUUAACUAUAGAACUGCUUCUGAAACUCUUAAUCUAGAAUAUGGGAGAGGUAGAUGGAAUUUCUGGUGUAGGGGUAAAAUCCGUAGAGAUCAGAAGGAAUACCGAUUGCGAAGGCGAUCUACUAGAACAUUAUUGACGCUGAGACGCGAAAGCGUGGGGAGCAAACAGGAUUAGAUACCCUGGUAGUC